GACGAACGCUGGCGGCGUGCCUAAUACAUGCAAGUAGAACGCACAGUUUAUACCGUAGCUUGCUACACCAUAGACUGUGAGUUGCGAACGGGUGAGUAACGCGUAGGUAACCUGCCUGGUAGCGGGGGAUAACUAUUGGAAACGAUAGCUAAUACCGCAUAAUAUUGAUUAUUGCAUGAUAAUUGAUUGAAAGAUGCUAUUGCAUCACUACCAGAUGGACCUGCGUUGUAUUAGCUAGUAGGUGAGGUAACGGCCCACCUAGGCGACGAUACAUAGCCGACCUGAGAGGGUGAUCGGCCACACUGGGACUGAGACACGGCUCAGACUCCUACGGGAGGCAGCAGUAGGGAAUCUUCGGCAAUGGACGAAAGUCUGACCGAGCAACGCCGCGUGAGUGAAGAAGGUUUUCGGAUCGUAAAGCUCUGUUGUAAGAGAAGAACGGGUGUGAGAGUGGAAAGUUCACACUGUGACGGUAGCUUACCAGAAAGGGACGGCUAACUACGUG
rnacentral:rRNA from 1 species